AAACAUUGAGGUGGAGAAGAGGCUGCUGGGGAGCUUGUCACUUAAGGUAGAGGAAAAUUAAGUGCUGAAAUAACGAUGGGAUGGGAGGUAAGAUGAGACACAGUAACAGAAAAUGUGUUUGUAAGAGUUAUGAAGGGUCGGGAUGAUUGGGAGCUUGUCACUUAAGGUAGAGGAAAAUUAAGUGCUGAAAUAACGAUGGGAUGGGAGGUAAGAUGAAACACAGUAACAGAAAAUGUGUUUGUAAGAGUUAUGAAGGGUCGGGAUGAUUGGGAGCUUGUCACUUAAGGUAGAGGACAAUUAACUACUGAAAUAACUAUGAGAUGGGAGGUAAGAUGAGACACAGUAACAGAAAAUGUGUUUGUAAGAGUUAUGAAGGGUUGGGAUGAGCUCGCAACAUCACAGUGAAUGGGGAUGAUUGGGAGCUUGUCACUUAAGGUAAAGGACAAUUAACUACUGAAAUAACUAUGAUAUAUAAGGCAAGAUGAAACAAUAUACUACAGUCUGUUCACUCAAGUCUGCCCCAAGCUGACGACAUAAAUUUAAGCAUGUUCGUAAGCACAGUACAGAUUAGCAGAAAGUGUUGCGUGAGAAACACAAACAGAGGUUCAAAGAAAAUUUGGAACCCACAGCAAUAGCCAAUCAGCACUCGGCUUGCAAACAGGCUAAGGUAUAUGUUGUCAGCUUGGGUCGGACUUAACCUGGUAGCAGCGACGGGCCAAAUUUGUGGCUUUACCGUGUAGCAGCGACGGGCCAAAUUUGUGGCUUUACCAUGUAGCAGCGACGGGCCAAAUUUGUGGCUUUACCGUGUAGCAGCAACGGGCCAAAUUUGUGGCUUUACCGUGUAGCAGCGACGGGCCAAAUUUGUGCCAUGAUAUAAACCCCCCAAAAUAGAUGAUGCAUAAUCUGAUCACAAAUGCUUUGAUAUAUAUUAUGAAAUGGUUUGUGUGAGGGGUGAUUUUUUCUCAUUUUUCUCGCUUAGAGGGACCAUUAAGAAACAUGGUCCCCGCUGCUACCGGGUUAAGUGAACAGAUUAACAGACUAACAAAUGAUGAUAUGAAAAAGAAAAUGUAUUAGUAUGAAUUAUGAAGAGGCGAAAUGACCCCACAACAUCGCAGUGAAUGAAGACUUAGGUGGUAUAACUAACCUACAGCUUAUCCAUGUAUCAACCGAUCUGUGAGUCUGGAUAAAACUACAAUGCACUCCCUCAAAGACCUGUCCUGGAGUGGGUUGGCAUGGCAGAGGAGAGUUUGAUUCUCCUUGUUCAAACACUCCUUUUUUGCAUCAUUAACAGACUUAUCUAUCUAUCUAUCAAGCUAUCUGUGAGUCUAGCCAGAACUACAAUGCACUCCCUCAAAGACCUUUCCUGGAGUGGGUUGGCAUGGCGGAGGAGAGAGUUCGAUCCUCCCUGUUCAAACACUCCUUUUUUGCAAUAUUAACAGACUUAUCUAUCUAUCAACCAAUCUGUGAGUCUGGAUAAAACUACAAUGCACUCCCUCAAAGACCUUUCCUGGAGUGGGUUGGCGGAGGAGAGAGUUCGAUCCUCCCUGUUCAAACACUCCUUUUUUGCAUCAUUAACAGACUUAUCUUAUCUAUCUGUCUACCGAUCUGUGAGUCUGGCUAGAACUACAAUAUGCUCAUCCCUCAAAGACCUGUCCUGGAGUGGGUUGGCAUGGCGGAGGAGAGAGUUCAAUCCUCCUUGUUCAAACACUCCUUUUUUGCAUCAUUAACAGACUUAUCUAUCUGUCUACCGAUCUGUGAGUCUGGAUAAAACUACAAUAUGCUCAUCCCUCAAAGACCUUUCCUGGAGUGGGUUGGCAUGGCGGAGGAGAGAGUUCAAUCCUCCCUGUUCAAACACUCCUUUUUUGCAUCAUUAACAGACUCAUCUUAUUCUAUCUCUCUACCAAUCUGUGAGUCUGGAUAAAACUACAAUGCACUCCCUCAAAGACCUUUCCUGGAGUGGGUUGGCGGAGGAGAGAGUUCGAUUCUCCCUGUUCAAACACUCCUUUUUUGCAUCAUUAACAGACUUAUCUAUCUGUCUACCGAUCUGUGAGUCUGGCUAAAACUACAAUGCACUCCCUCAAAGACCUUUCCUGGAGUGGGUUGGCGGAGGAGAGAGUUUGAUUCUCCCUGU